rnacentral:tRNA from 1 species
GCUGGUGUUGCUCAGUGGGUAGAGCGUCAGCCUGCAAACUGAAGGGUCCUGGGUUUGAUUCCAGUCAAGGGCA